GUGCAAACUCCAUCACGAACUGUUCGUGCUAUUGCCUAAAUAAAGGGAACCAGGUUUGCUAAAGUAAUUGUCAUGAUAGAAAUGUAUUAGCCUCAGAAGCUACUCAGGUGGACCAUUCUAUCCUAGAACAGUG